AAUCCUCGAGCGACAUUAUAUGUGGACUGCUCAAAUCAGCAAAAUACCAGAAGUUUGGUUAAGUUGGGCAAUCUUACAGGUAUGACUUUUUGGGCAAAACUACUCCAUAAGCAAUUUCUCCGUGUGUCACACACAAAUAGGUUGUUGAUUUUGGGGCAUGUAUGCCUUUUUUUUUUUAUCUGAUUUUUUUUUUUUCUCAGACAGACAUAGUAGUAAUGAUUAGCAUUGGAAAAUACAUAUCACUUUUCUUGGAAUAUUUAUGGUCUACUUUCGGUAGAAUUUUCUUGGAUAGCGUUGACACGAUAGAUCUUAUUUCAUAUUUCUUUAUUAUUAUUUUAUUUUCAUUUUUGUUUUCAUUAUUAUACAUAUUUUGAUGGAGAAGAGGUUGGGCUUUUUUAAAAAGGUGAAAAGUUACUGUAACACUAAAACACCCCUUAUUUUUUGACUUACGAAAGCCUUUGCUCUGGCUCUCAAAAUAUAUUAUAAAAAUGGUUGGUUGGUAUUUUUAUUUGGUUUUAAGAUUUCUGAAUCAUUUUGUCUUAAAUUGUGAUUUUAAAUGAGCUAUUUAGGUACUUAACCUUUUUUGUGAGGGCGUUCAAGAUGAUUUAGGAAUUUCCCCUCUUGGAAAAGUGUUCCCCUGUGAUGAAAACUAUAUGCCAGCUCAAAUUGUAUGCCAUUGAAAAACUGUAAGUCUUUAAAAAUUACUUGUCUUUAUUCUAAAUCAAGCUUUGGAUCAAACUUUAGGCCAGGACCAGCUCAUGCAUUCUUAUUCUCCCUUUUCUCACUCUUUCUCUCUUCAUCUCUCACCCGUAUAGUCAUAUUGUUGUUUGGGAUAGAAAAAUCACAAAGAGCCAGCCCACCUUGGAAGGUUGUGGAUUGAGAGACACUACACGACUCUAAGUAGAUGAGAAAAGGAUGGCGCUCCAGACAUUCACACGUUGACUCUAUAGUUCAAAAGGAAAAGAGUGUGCCCAUUCUUUCUACAUGACAUAUUGAGAUGUUCUUUUAAAAAAUCAACUUUUAAGAUAGUAAUGUUUUGUUCUAAACUGUUCUCUUUUAGUAAAGGUAGAUUUUAGAAAACAAGCAUGGGGGUUCUUUUCUAAGGUAAUAUUAAUGAGAAGAAGCAAAAAAGUGAUUCUCUAACAGCUCUUUGUUGAAGCCUGUGGUAGCACAUUAUGAUUGCACAUGUGCACGUACUCUCUUAUGAUCCAAUGCAAAUACAGCUCCAAAAACAUUAAAUGUAUAUAUAUUUUUAAAUGCCUGAGGAUAUACGUUUUUCUUAAUAAAUUGAAGAGUAUCAAUACUGCUAUUAAAAUAAUUAUUAGCCUCCCGCUGUGUGGCUGCAAAAUAUCACAAGGUGAUCUGUCUUGAGACCCCUGAACUGCCUGCCUGUUGAGUUAGUGAACGUUAACGCAAUUCUAGAGGGCGAGUAUCUGUCAUCCAGAGGUGGAAGCAUGGAGUCACGAAGCUGGUGGUCAGCCUCUGCGCUGUAUGCCCGCCUUUUGCCUGAAGUUUACAUGAGCUCACGUCUUCCUGCCUUUGGGUUGAGGGCCGUGGCAAAAAAUGCAAGGCAUCCUUUGGUGAGCAAGUAGCAAGGCAUCUUUUGCUGACUGUCCUAGAUCACAAGAGAAAAUGGAGGAAUUGAAAUUCAACCUGAAUAUGAAACUAAAUAUGCUAACCAAAGGUAGGUACUAUUAGGUGGAAUUCUAUCAGCAGGCAACUGUUAAGGAGAAGAGGAUAGAAAGGCAUGCAUUGGGACUUUGAAAGGCUGUGUUAUUUUCCCAAAGAAAGACUUGGCCAAGGGCAGAAGGCACAGCUUCUUUGCAGAGCACCUCCUUUUGGUUUUCCAUUACUGUUUCAUAGACAGGGGACCCACAUCUUCCUGAUAGCAGUGCAAUUGUUUAGAAAGCAUCCAGUUAUUUGCAGUAAUUAGGACCUCUGGAAGAUGCUAGGGCAGAGAUGUGUCAAGUCAGGGAUGAAGAAAAUGUGAAAUAUAACAUUGAUCCACACAUGGAAACUGGGUAAUGUAUGCUCAUGUGUUGUUCUCUUGAAAGAAAAAGUAGAGCUAUAAGCUUCACUCCAUCCUGUACCAGAGAAAACCAAGAGUAACUUUACAUGGAAAUAACAUUUAGCUUUCAUCAGAGAGAAUGGUCCUUCAAGACCCGUAAGUCCCAAAACUGGAUCCUGACUUUAGCCCUGGUUCUCUUUCAUUAUGUGACCUGCAGCAAAUCACUUUUUCUUUUUGUGCCUCAGGUUCCUCACCUGUAAAAUGGAAAAAAAUAUAUUAAUAAUAAUAAUAAUAAUAUUAAUAAUAAUAAUGGUAAUGUAGUUCUUGUUUGUAAAGCACUUUGAGAUCCUUGGUUGAAAGGCACCAUGCGAGUGCCAAGUAUUAUUAUAUGGCCAAGGGGCCUAUUUAAACUCUCAGUUCCCAAGGGCCAGGAAAGGUUGGGGUCAUUUUGUUAAAGAUGAGCUGUAAAUAUCAUAACUAGACAGCCUAUAGUGUUGACUUUGAAGAGGCGAAAUUAUUACAAGGCUGAUGAAAUCAGUUUCUUAAUGGCUACCAACAAGGCAAAUAUCAGAAUAAGAAAUGCCAAAUUCCUUCGGGUGGACUAUUUGACAACAUGGAUAAUUUGGGGGGUGGGAUGGGAAACAUCUCAAAAUGCCAAUAUAAAAUUAACUUACAGCAAUAUUCACCAGCAGAAAAUGUCUUUCAUGUGGAAUGAUUUCAUGUUGCUAAGAAAAAAUCCAAUUUGUAGUCCUGAUUUGAAUAUUAGAAUGUUGGCUAUAAUAGUUCUGUUCUUACAACACAUGGAAUUCUUUUUUUGUUUUAUUUAAUUUUGUUUUCAUAGUGCAUGUUCAUUUCUACUCACAAACAUGUUCUUGGUGUAUUUCUUAUGCAAACAAUCUUCAGGCAGCAAAGAUGUCUGUUACAUCUAAACUUGAAUAAUAAAGUUUUACCACCAGUUAUACAUAAUGGCGUUGGUAUGGUUUAUAUGGAUUCACUUUCAUCCAUGUAGCAAUAGGAGAUACAGACCAUUGUAACGUAUAAACAGGCUCUGAUGAAUUGAGAUGGUGAAAUCAAACCACCAUUUUCAAGAAUAUGACUGAGAUUGGAAAAGCCUGAAUUCUCAACUUGUUUUGUUUUGCCUUUUUUUUUUCUUUAACCAAUCAAUCUCUUAUUGAUAGAUUUUGUGUAAAAAAACUAUGCUAGUUU
ensembl:lncRNA